AGAAUCAACGCUGGCGGCGUGCCUAACACAUGCAAGUCGAACGCGAAAGUCCCGAAAGGGAUGAGUAGAGUGGCAAACGGGUGAGUAACACGUGGGUGACCUGCCUUCGAGCGGGGGAUAACGUCCCGAAAGGGACGCUAAUACCGCAUGACAUCCUGCCUUUGAAGAGGUGGAGAUCAAAGCUGGGGAUCGCAAGACCUAGCACUCGAAGAGGGGCCCGCGCCUGAUUAGCUAGUUGGUGGGGUAACGCUCACCAAGGCAACGAUCAGUA
rnacentral:rRNA from 1 species